UUCUUCGUCCAGUUCUGGACGAGCAUUAUUGGCAGGAUGGUGGAUAUUUUGUUUAAUAUCAGUAGCUACUUACAGUGGUAAUCUUAUAGCAUUCCUUACAGUAUCUAAAGAGAAACUUCCCUUCGAGACACUGGCCGAACUCGGGAAACAAAACGAAUACAAAUGGGGAACAUUACAAGGCAGUGUCUGGGUAUCGUUAUUAGAGAAUUCCAACUUGACUGAUUAUAAACGGUUAUGGCAGGGUAUCGUAGAAUUCAACAAAACCGAUCCAGACGUUCUACAUAUAGAUCAAGGCCACCAAAGACAAAAAAUUAUGGAUGAAAACUAUGGUUUUAUAGCGGAUAAAACGACAGCAGAGACUUGGGUUUUCCAAUCUUGUGAUUUGACUUACUUGAAAGAACUUUUCUUUCCAAUGAACUAUGCAUUCGCAUUACAAAAUAAUUCACCAUACUUACAGCAUUUCUCGGACGAAACGAUGAAAAUUAUGGAGAGUGGAUUAGUUCAAAUAUUACAACGACAAUGGUGGCCUAAACCAGGAACGUGUGUGGAUGAUUCGAAUUCUGUUCAGACUGUAGAACUAAUUGAUAUUCAGAGUGCUUUCUAUGUAAUUCUAA